GACGAACGCUGGCGGCGUGCUUAACACAUGCAAGUCGAACGGAAAGGCCCUGCUUGCCGGGUACUCGAGUGGCGAACGGGUGAGUAACACGUGGGUGAUCUGCCCUGCACUUCGGGAUAAGCCUGGGAAACUGGGUCUAAUACCGGAUAGGAGCCAUUUUUAGUGUGAUGGUUGGAAAGUUUUUUCGGUGUAGGAUGAGCUCGCGGCCUAUCAGCUUGUUGGUGGGGUAAUGGCCUACCAAGGCGGCGACGGGUAGCCGGCCUGAGAGGGUGGACGGCUACAUUGGGACUGAGAUACGGCCCAGACUCCUACGGGAGGCAGCAGUGGGGAAUAUUGCACAAUGGGCGCAAGCCUGAUGCAGCGACGCCGCGUGGGGGAUGACGGCCUUCGGGUUGUAAACGCCUUUCGCUAGGGACGAAGCUUUUUGUGACGGUACCUAGAGAAGAAGCACCGGCUAACUACGUG
rnacentral:rRNA from 1 species